GUGCUCACUUUAGCAGCACAUACACUGAAAUUGGAACAAUGCAGAGAUUAGCGUGGCCCCUGCACAAGGAUGACAUGCAAAUUGUGGAGCAUUUCAUGUUUUAA
ensembl:snRNA U6 U6 spliceosomal RNA